AAAAAUAAUUUCAGCUUACCUAAAACAUUUUGAUGUUGUGUCUCAGUGCAUCUGCAGAGUGUAGGACUGAUCACCUGGUCCAGGAACAUCCACAAAUGGCGCUGGAGGGAUGGGGAGGGCCUGCCAGUGGAUGCCCAGCACCCAUCUUUUUUUUCGUGUUGGUGCUCCAGCCCGGUGCACCCCACGGAGUUGGUGCCUAUGGUGGCAGUUACUACAUGUGCUCUGUAUUGUUUCUGAAGCUGUAUAGGAUGUUUUUUAUUGUAGGCAAGCCACUUGGGCAGUGUGAUGGACUAUAUCUCUGUAUUCACCCCUGUACCCCUAUAUUUACACUAUUGUAAUAAUCUUUGUACAAGGUAUGCUUGUGAGGUAUCAUUUCAAAACUCCUAAUUUUCUUGUCAUUAUUGUCCUGGUAAAAUGUGUGGCACCAUUUUAUGUAAAGUUAUAAGAUUCCACUUGGUGUUGUUACUAAAAUAUUUCCCACAUCUGAGGAGUGGACAAACCAGUUCCUCAGAGACAAAGGGCAAGCUGACACCUCAGUCUAGUGUAAACAAAGUCAAUAGGCAAUUAUUGUUAAGUGGCUAUUCUUUGGCAGGAAAGGGGACAAGAGUGAAAAAUCUUAGCAAAGAAACAGCAUGGAGUUCCCGUCCAUGCAGUCACCUGUCACCAUGCUCCCAGCCAGAAAUGGUUCUCCAAGGGAAGACAAGACUAUAAAAAGAAGGGGCAAUGUACCCCCUCCUCCUCGCUCUCUAUCCAUUGAUUCAUUGCACCCGAAGGAACAAAGGAAGCAGCCAUUAAAUAGAAGAAGGGGUACUGGCCUAAGAAGUUUGGUCAGUAAGACUGUUCAGAGCAUGUAGUGAGAAAAACUUAGAUUAGACACCGGUUACUUAUCUUUAUUUCUUGUAACCAUUUCUGACUUUUAUGCCUCAUUACUUGUACUCACAAUAUCUAUCUUUUUGUAGUUAAUAAACUUGUUAUAUUGUUUUAUCUAA